rnacentral:rRNA from 1 species
CACGUAGGGCGCAAGCGUUGUCCGGAAUUAUUGGGCGUAAAGAGCUCGUAGGCGGUCUGUUGCGUCCGCUGUGAAAACUCGGGGCUUAACCCCGAGCCUGCAGUGGAUACGGGCAGACUAGAGGUAGGUAGGGGAGAAUGGAAUUCCCGGUGUAGCGGUGAAAUGCGCAGAUAUCGGGAGGAACACCAGUGGCGAAGGCGACUACCUGGCCUGUUCUUGACGCUGAGGCGCGAAAGCGUGGGUAGCAAACAGG